CCAGGUCUUGACAUCCAGUGCAAACCUAAGAGAUUAGGUGUUCCCUUCGGGGACGCUGAGACAGGUGGUGCAUGGCUGUCGUCAGCUCGUGUCGUGAGAUGUUGGGUUAAGUCCCGCAACGAGCGCAACCCUUGUCAUUAGUUGCCAUCAUUAAGUUGGGCACUCUAAUGAGACUGCCGGUGACAAACCGGAGGAAGGUGGG
rnacentral:rRNA from 1 species